rnacentral:rRNA from 1 species
GCACGUAGUUAGCCGGUGCUUAUUCUUCAGGUACCGUCAUUCGCAGACUGUGUUAGAGCUGCUGUUUCUUCCCUGACAAAAGAGCUUUACAACCCGAAGGCCUUCUUCACUCACGCGGCAUUGCUGGAUCAGGGUUGCCCCCAUUGUCCAAAAUUCCCCA